AUUGAACGCUGGCGGCAGGCCUAACACAUGCAAGUCGAGCGGAUGAAGGGAGCUUGCUCCUGGAUUCAGCGGCGGACGGGUGAGUAACGCCUAGGAAUCUGCCUGGUAGUGGGGGAUAACGUCCGGAAACGGGCGCUAAUACCGCAUACGUCCUGAGGGAGAAAGUGGGGGAUCUUCGGACCUCACGCUAUCAGAUGAGCCUAGGUCGGAUUAGCUAGUUGGUGGGGUAAAGGCCUACCAAGGCGACGAUCCGUAACUGGUCUGAGAGGAUGAUCAGUCACACUGGAACUGAGACACGGUCCAGACUCCUACGGGAGGCAGCAGUGGGGAAUAUUGGACAAUGGGCGAAAGCCUGAUCCAGCCAUGCCGCGUGUGUGAAGAAGGUCUUCGGAUUGUAAAGCGCUUUAAGUUGGGAGGAAGGGCAGUAAGUUAAUACCUUGCUGUUUUGACGUUACCAACAGAAUAAGCACCGGCUAACUUCGUG
rnacentral:rRNA from 1 species